UACGUAGGGUCCAAGCGUUAUCCGGAAUCACUGGGCGUAAAGCGUGCGUAGGUGGCGCGUUAAGUGAGAUGUUAAAUCGUGUGGCUCAACCAUAUCGAUGCAUCUCAUACUGGCGUGCUAGAGGACAGCAGAGGCAAGUGGAAUUUGUAGUGUAGCAGUGAAAUGCGUAGAUAUUACAAGGAACACCAAUGGCGAAGGCAGCUUGCUGGGCUACUCCUGACACUGAGGUACGAAAGCGUGGGGAGCGAACAGG
rnacentral:rRNA from 1 species